rnacentral:tRNA from 1 species
GGUGGCUCAGUGGUAGAGUGCUUGCCUUGCAUGCGUGAAGCUCUGGGUUCAAUUCCUCAGCACCA